rnacentral:rRNA from 1 species
UGCCCCAGUAACGGCGAGUGAAGCGGCAACAGCUCAAAUUUGAAAUCUGGCUUCGGCCCGAGUUGUAAUUUGUAGAGGAUGCUUUUGGUGAGGUGCCUUCUGAGUUCCCUGGAACGGGACGCCAGAGAGGGUGAGAGCCCCGUAUAGUCGGCCACCGAUCCUUUGUAAAGCUCCUUCGACGAGUCGAGUAGUUUGGGAAUGCUGCUCAAAAUGGGAGGUAUAUCUCUUCUAAAGCUAAAUAUUGGCCAGAGACCGAUAGCGCACAAGUAGAGUGAUCGAAAGAUGAAAAGCACUUUGAAAAGAGGGUUAAAUAGUACGUGAAAUUGUUGAAAGGGAAGCGCUUGUGACCAGACUUGUGCCGGGCUGAUCAUCCAGUGUUCUCACUGGUGCACUCUGCCCGGCUCAGGCCAGCGUCGGUUCUCGCAGGUGGACAAAAGCUUCGGGAACGUGGCCCCUCCGGGGGUGUUAUAGCCCGUUGCUCAAUACACUUGUGGGGACCGAGGUUCGCGCUCUGCAAGGACGCUGGCAUAAUGGUC